rnacentral:snoRNA from 1 species
AUCCUUCGGUUCAUCAGUGUGAUGAUUGGGUAGUUCAUGCUAUUGUGAGAUGUGCCUUCCUCUACACCUUGUUACGCCAUCAGACGUGGCAAAUAUAUUUUCUAUUUCCCUUGAGAAU